UACGUAGGGUGCGAGCGUUGUCCGGAAUUAUUGGGCGUAAAGGGCUCGUAGGCGGUCUGUUGCGUCCGCUGUGAAAACUCGGGGCUUAACCCCGAGCCUGCAGUGGAUACGGGCAGACUAGAGGUAGGUAGGGGAGAAUGGAAUUCCCGGUGUAGCGGUGAAAUGCGUAGAUAUUGGGAGGAACACCAGUGGCGAAGGCGGCUCACUGGACUGGUACUGACGCUGAUGCGCGAAAGCGUGGGGAGCAAACAGG
rnacentral:rRNA from 1 species